rnacentral:rRNA from 1 species
GACGAACGCUGGCGGCGCGCCUAACACAUGCAAGUCGAACGGAGUCAAGAGGAGCUUGCUUUUCUUGACUUAGUGGCGAACGGGUGAGUAACGCGUGAGUAACCUGCCCUGGAGUGGGGGACAACAGUUGGAAACGACUGCUAAUACCGCAUAAGCCCACGGAUCUGCAUGGAUCUGCGGGAAAAGGAUUUAUUCGCUCUAGGAUGGACUCGCGUCCAAUUAGCUAGUUGGUGAGGUAACGGCCCACCAAGGCGACGAUUGGUAGCCGGACUGAGAGGUUGACAGGCCGCAUUGGGACAGAGACCCGACCCAGACCCCGGCGGAGGCGGGCAGUGGGGGAUAUUGAACAAUGGGGAAACCCUUGGUCCGGCGGCGCCGGGGGGAGAAAGAGUUUUUUGGUAUUAAAAACCCCUCUGUUAAGGAAGAAAAAGGGGGUUACUAAAAAGAAAAGCACCAGCUAACUCCGCC